rnacentral:rRNA from 1 species
UGGGGAAUUUUGGGCAAUGGGCGAAAGCCUGACCCAGCAACGCCGCGUGAAGGAUGAAGUAUUUCGGUAUGUAAACUUCGAAAGAAUAGGAAGAAUAAAUGACGGUACUAUUUAUAAGGUCCGGCUAACUACGUGCCAGCAGCCGCGGUAAUACGUAGGGACCAAGCGUUGUUCGGAUUUACUGGGCGUAAAGGGCGCGUAGGCGGUGUGUCAAGUCAGUUGUGAAAUCUCCGAGCUUAACUCGGAACGGUCAACUGAUACUGUCACACUAGAGUACAGAAGGGGCAAUCGGAAUUCUUGGUGUAGCGGUGAAAUGCGUAGAUAUCAAGAGGAACACCUGAGGCGAAGGCGGGUUGCUGGGCUGAUACUGACGCUGAGGCGCGAAAGCUAGGGUAGCAAACGGGAUUAGAUACCCUAGUAGUCCCUGAGCGGGCUGGCAAGGCGCAU